rnacentral:rRNA from 1 species
GAUGAACGCUGGCGGCGUGCCUAAUACAUGCAAGUCGAGCGAACAGACGAGGAGCUUGCUCCUCUGACGUUAGCGGCGGACGGGUGAGUAACACGUGUAUAACCUACCUAUAAGACUGGGAUAACUUCGGGAAACCGGAGCUAAUACCGGAUAAUAUAUUGAACCGCAUGGUUCAAUAGUGAAAGACGGUUUUGCUGUCACUUAUAGAUGGAUCCGCGCUGCAUUAGCUAGUUGGUAAGGUAACGGCUUACCAAGGCAACGAUGCGUAGCCGACCUGAGAGGGUGAUCGGCCACACGGGAACUGAGACACGGUCCAGACUCCUACGGGAGGCAGCAGUAGGGAAUCUUCCGCAAUGGGCGAAAGCCUGACGGAGCAACGCCGCGUGAGUGAUGAAGGUCUUCGGAUCGUAAAACGCUGUUAUGAGGGAAGAACAAAUGUGGAAGUAACUAUGCACGUAUUGACGGUACCUAAUAAGAAAGCCACGGCUAACUACGUG